CAGUUCCUCACAGACUCAUCGUGACUGUACUCUUGUGACUGCACGCUCAACAACAAACCAACAAACAUGAAAUUCUUCAGGGUACUCGGUAUGAUCGCCGCUCUGCUGCUCGCCGCACAAGUCGCGAGCGCUCAGGAGAAUGCAGCCUCUGGCGAAGUAGGCCUCCGUGGACCGAUAAAUGUAGUAGACUCUAGCAUACUGAAAGAAAAAGAUCUCGUUCCAGAGGGUAGCGGACCAAGUCCACGCGGUCCGGGACACCAACAAUGUCCGGGACACAAUAAAUGCAAUUAGAAAUAGAGCAAUAAUGACUGAUAAUUUAUAACUUAUUUUGAGAUACAAAUAAAUUUAAUACUUAAUAUUA